UUUAUACAUUUUCCUCCAACGCAAAUCAUCCCUUUCCUUUCCCUCUACAUUCCCGAUUGGCAACCGCUCUCCCCUGCCACCUUCGUCUCACUGCGAUAUAAGCUGAUAGGAAAGAGAGGACGAACUCUCCUCACCUCACGCUCCUCCUGUAGUCCUCUACCAAAAUCGUUGUCAAUCCCCUCCUCCCCUCCUCUUGGUUCCGCCCAAAACUAUCUCCUGUGCCUUAAACCCUAGCUUCACCGUGUCAUUUGGAGUUAGCAGAGAAGGCAAUGACGGGAUUGUCGGCUGUUUCGCUCCUACCCAAAACCACUGAAAAAGGUCAGUAGAACUCUUUUGAAGUUUGGUUAGCCAGAUCGACGGACCCACAGAGUGUUGAACCUAUAGGAAAUCUUUAGACUUCUUUGGCUUUGUGACAAAUGCCAACCAUCAUACUAUGCGAUUGGAACGGCAACAGAAGGACCACCUUGAAUAAGUACAAGUUUCAUAUGGAAGUUUUCUCUGGAUUAUUGUUCAUCCUUGAAGGAGAUGGAGAAGCCGUGAGGGAGCCACAGCUAGGGAUGUGAAAAUUCUGGCCGGAAAGCUCCGCCGUGGGAAAAGUUUUUGUAUCAGAACACCAUCAGGUGUCCAAUUAAAAUUGAAAAUGCUUGAUCUUGCCUCGAACACCACCAUCAUGUUGAGUCUUUGUUUCGGACCUUGCUAAUGUUAAACACAUUUAAUGAAGUGCUUUAAAAGUACAUAAUGAAGUUUGGGUGUAAAACAUGUGAAUUUUAAUGUUUUCUAUGCUAUGUAUGUAAU